UAACUGCUGCCUGCCCGCUGAGUUAAAGAGUUCCCACGGUAAGACGAUGUUAGUUGCGCCCAAGUUUAAAUUUCCAACGUGUGUUUCAGAGUAAAUCAAAAACUGUCUGAAUCAGCAAGUUAGACACAAAAUGCUGGAGUAACUCAGCGGGCCAAGCAGCAUCUCUGGAGAAAAGGAAUAGAUUCCAUUUUUGGUCGGGACCCUUCUUCGGGAUGAUUGUAGGGGGGAACUGGAAGCAAGAAAAGACCGGGACAAAUCAGGGCCAACAACAGAUGACCUCAGCAGGGUAUUUUGAAGAAGGGUCCCGACCCGAAAUGUCGCCUAACCCUUUCCUCCAGAGAUGCUGCCUGACCCACUGAAUCACUCCAGCACUUUAUGUCUAUAUUUGGUUCCCUGAUAGGCCAAUUGUUGGCUAGGGAUAGUGUGAUCCCAAAAGGGAACCAGCGUUGCAAACCUUGGACUGGUUAACCGACAAUUACUGCAUGGGGGAGCGGGGGCAGGAGGGGGUGGGCGUGGGAGAGAGAGAGAGUUUAAGUUACCUAAAAUUAAAUAAGUCAAUGUUCAUAGUGAACACGGACACAAAAUGUUGGUGUAACUCAGCAGGUAAGUCAGAUCUGGGAAGAAAAACAUAAAAAGCUGGAGUAAGUCAGCGUGUCAGGCAGCAUCUCUGGAGAAAAAGUAUAGGUGGCGAUUCGAAUCGGAACCCUUCUUCAGACAUCCUAAUCGGAAUUGAGUCUGAAGAUGUGUCUCGUCCCGAAACAUCACCUAUUUUUCUCCAGAGAUGCUGCUUGACUCGCUGAGUUACCCCAGCUUUUUAUGUUUUUCUUCGUUUUAAACCAGCAUGUGCAGUUCACUCCUUUACACGGGUCUCUGGAGAACAUUGAUUGGUAGCAUUCCGGACCCUGCUUCGGAAAGGCAUCGAUCGCUGAUUGGCGAGGACUCCGAGCUGUAUCUCUCAAAGAAGUACAUGUGAAAAAUUUCUCACGGACCAUAAAAAUGAGGGACCUUUCAGUAAAGUCCCUUUUAAAGAUUAUAGUUAUUUUCUUGAAUCUCUAACAUAACUCAUGAAUAAGUUGAUGUCCAUAUGAGGAUGCAAAUCUUUAUUUUUUAAAUUCCACAGAAGACAAUUUUUACUCACCUUCUGUCCCCUCUGUCCAGCUUCCGGGUUCACCGUUCGCAGGAGUUCCCACGAUACACGCAAGAGUCAGUACGGAUAUCGCACUCGCCACUACGUGCAUAUAAUGUUGCAAUGUUCAACCACAAGUGUACAAGUCACUCUUGGAGAAAUUCAAGCUUGUUUGAAUUUUCUCCCGAGUCACCAAGUUACACGAGUACCUGCCGUUAGCGCCACGGUGGUCCACGAAUGCCGUACGGUUAUCGUAAGAGGUUCCCACGAUGUUCAACUCUGGUUAACUCUUGCGUCAAGUCACCACGUGAAAAAGGGGUUUAACAGAGAACUAUGUUUACGUACAUUAUCUGUUGUGCUGAUGCCAGUCAGGAUUUCAUUGUUUCGUUUCAGGACAUAUGACAAUAAAACAUUCCUGAAUCUUGAAUUAAAAAAACUAUCAUUGGGUAAUGAUGAACCCAGUUCCUAAAGCCUUCAGCUUUGGCAUUUCCGCAUGGUUAGAAACCCAGAUUACACUCGUUUUUCCUCCAACUUCUCCUUAUUUCUAUUCCAGGCAAAAUGACAACCUAUGUAUAUGAUCAUCAAACAUCAACGCCAGAAGGUAAUGCAGCCAUUAUUAUCAUGUGAUUCCCAUUCAGAUUAAUAAGGACCUGAAUGGAAACAGAACCAGUUGGAAGUGACCAUUGAAUGGGUGAUUAGGGUGUGAUCAUGACCUGGUAAAAUCUCCUCUACCUCAUGUUAAAUCCAUACCAUUUUCAGGCAACUAACAGGUUAUUGCCUUUGAUUAUGGGAUGAGCAAUCCUUUGUAUGUCUAUUCUUAUCAAAUAUAACAGCAUCCACCCAUGUAACUCUAGAAUGCUGCCCAGAUUCAUUUUUUAGCACUGUCGCCAUUUAUUUUAAUUCCCAACUAUGUCCUGUAGAUUGGUUUAUGCAUGAGAACCAAUCAUAGUAGAAUAGGAUCACUAACCCCAUCCUACUGUACGAUUUAUACUAACACCCACUUCCUACACUGGUCAGUCUUGGAAACGGUCAUGAUGUUCUAACAACUAACAACCUGCUGUACUGCUAUAAUACGAAUACUGAUUAAAGAUGAUCUUGGACUUCAGAUUGUAUUCUUUGGCUAUAUACAUGUCCAAACAUCUGUCUAUCACUGCUUUGAAUGAACGCAUUGACUAAGCCUUUAUAGCCAGAUGUGUUCUCACCAUGCUCCUCAAUGACUACAAUCAAACAGCUUGGGUCUGAUCAAAUAUUCUCGUAGUAAACGUGAACUUACCAUCUGCCUUUAGCCACAACGACCUUCUGGAGGAAUUCAGCAGCACAGACAAGAUCUGAGGAGGGAAUUGAACUGUGAACGUUUCACAUUGGGAACCUUCUUGAUUUCCUGUUAUAUACCGAAGUGUACGACUCCACAUUUACCCACCACCCAUUGUGUGAAAACCUUGUGCCUCAGAAUUGUAGUAAAUCUUUCCCCUUUCACCGUAAAUCUAUGUCCUCUGGUUCUUGAUCCCCCUAUUCUGGGUAAAAGAGUCUGUGCAUCUCCUCUACCUAUCCCCUCGUGAUCUUUUACACCUUUAUCAGAUCACCCCUAUUCUUCUUUGCUCCAAGGAUUACAGUCCUGGCCUGCCUAACCUCUCACUAUAGCUCAGGCCCACAGGUCCUGGCACCAUCCUUGUUAAUAUUCUCAGCACCGUUUCCAGCUUAACACAUCGUUCCAAUAGCAGGGAAAGAUUUUACAAUAAUGGCAUGAAGUUUCCAAUUCAAUAUCCUGAGAACUGGUUCUAUGAACUGAGGGAAAAUUGAAUGAUAUUCUACUCCGCCUAUUCACACAAACUAAUGUCUUCCUUCCAGCACCAACAUCGACAACAACUUCAACAACAUCGACAACAACUCCGACUUCAACAACAGCAUCAACACUUGAGACAACUACUUCAACUUCAACUU